GACGUAGGGCGCGAGCGUUGUCCGGAUUUAUUGGGCGUAAAGAGCUCGUAGGCGGCUUGUCGCGUCGACCGUGAAAACUCGCAGCUCAACUGCGAGCCUGCGGUCGAUACGGGCAGGCUAGAGUUCGGUAGGGGAGACUGGAAUUCCUGGUGUAGCGGUGAAAUGCGUAGAUAUCGGGAGGAACACCAGUGGCGAAGGCGACUACCUGGCCUGUUCUUGACGCUGAGGCGCGAAAGCUAGGGGAGCAAACGGG
rnacentral:rRNA from 1 species